UACGUAGGGGGCAAGCGUUGUCCGGAAUUAUUGGGCGUAAAGAGCUCGUAGGCGGUUUGUCGCGUCUGCUGUGAAAACUCGGGGCUUAACCCCGGGCCUGCAUUGGAUACUAUCCGGCUCGAGGAAUGGAGGGGAGACUGGAAUACUUGGUGUAGCAGUGAAAUGCGUAGAUAUCUAAAGGAACACCAAUGGCGAAGGCAGCUUACUGGGCCAUUACUGACACUGAGAUGCGAAAGUGUGGGGAGCAAACGGG
rnacentral:rRNA from 1 species